rnacentral:tRNA from 1 species
GGAGAAAUGGCUGAGUGGUUGAUAGCUCUGGUCUCGAAAACCGGUGAACUAUCGAGGGUUUGAAUCCCUCUCUCUUUC